rnacentral:rRNA from 1 species
UACGUAGGAGGCAAGCGUUGUCCGGAUUUACUGGGUGUAAAGGGUGCUCAGGUGGUCUUGUAAGUCAAUGGUGAAAUCCCGGGGCUCAACUCCGGAACUGCCUUUGAUACUAUAAGGCUUGAGUAUGGAAGAGGUUGAUGGAAUUUCGGGUGUAGCAGUGAAAUGCGUAGAUAUCCGAAAGAACACCAGUGGCGAAGGCGGUCAACUGGUCCAUUACUGACACUAAAGCACGAAAGCGUGGGGAGCAAACAGG